rnacentral:rRNA from 1 species
CGCGGCCUAUCAGCUUGUUGGUGAGGUAACGGCUCACCAAGGCGACGACGGGUAACCGGCCUGAGAGGGUGACCGGUCACACUGGGACUGAGACACGGCCCAGACUCCUACGGGAGGCAGCAGUGGGGAAUAUUGCACAAUGGGCGCAAGCCUGAUGCAGCAACGCCGCGUGAGGGAUGACGGCCUUCGGGUUGUAAACCUCUUUUAGCAGGGAAGAAGCGAAAGUGACGGUACCUGCAGAAAAAGCACCGGCUAACUACGUGCCAGCAGCCGCGGUAAUACGUAGGGUGCAAGCGUUGUCCGGAAUUAUUGGGCGUAAAGAGCUCGUAGGCGGUUUGUCACGUCUGCUGUGAAAAUCCAAGGCUCAACCUUGGACUUGCAGUGGGUACGGGCAGGCUAGAGUGCGGUAGGGGAGAUGGGAAUUCCUGGUGUAGCGGUGGAAUGCGCAGAUAUCAGGAGGGACACCAAUGGCGAAGGCACAUCUCUGGGCCGUAACUGACGCUGAGGAGCGAAAGCGUGGGGAGCGAACAGGAUUAGAUACCCUGGUAGUCCACGCCGUAAACGGUGGGUGCUAGCUGU